ensembl:lncRNA
GACCCACGUGGGACUGGGGGGGUGACACAUCCGUGGGGUGGGAGGGGAAGGGGACACUCGUGGUGGUGAUGACACAGGAGGGUUGAUGAUGAGGAAGGGCCGCACUGUGGGAGGGAACAUUCACAAUGACAAUGUGGGACAGGGGACACUUGUGGGGAUGACACAGAGGGUGACACAAUGACAGCGUGGGAGGGGGACACUUUCAGUGAUGAUGAGGGACACGAACAGACACGGUGCGGAAAGGGACAAAGGCUGGUGACGUGGGGAGGGGGACACACAUCGGUGACAUUGGAGGGGGACACACUGAUGUCAUGGGAGGAGAGACUCACUUGUGAUGUGGGAAGGGACAUUCACGAUGACAUGGGAGAGGGACACACUGGUGACAUGGGAAGGGACACGGUGAUGAGGGAAGGGACAUUCCCGAUGCCAGGGGAGGGGACACUCACACUGGUGACAUGGGAAGGGACAUUCCCGAUGCCGGGGGAGGGGACACUCACGUUGAUGAUGUGGGACAGCUCCACCAGCACGAGCGGCUCCGCGGGCCGGGUGGGCGGGCGCACGGUCACCGUCAGCACCUUGGAGGUGACAGCCAGGGGGCUCCUGCGGGAAGGGACACGGGGCUGUGACAGGCCGGGGGACAGCAGGGGACACCGCGGGCGGUGCCACUCACCUGGGCGGGGGCAGGAUGAGCCCCAGCGUGCGGUACAGCACCGCCCCGAUGACAAAGUGCGACGACUCCUCGGCUUCUGCGGGAAGAGCCAGGCGCUCGGUGACGCGCGGGGCUGCCAGAUGUGCGCCCAGAUGUGCGCUGGCCCCCGAGCACGCCUGGUCACCUGGACACGCCCGGGGAUGCCGCUCACGUGUGUGUGUGUGUGUGUGUGAAUGAGAGCCAGGUGUGAGCUCACAGCUGCACCAGAUGUGUGUGCCCACGCGUGCAGGCAUGCAGCGCCUCCAGAUGUGCACGGUCCCGUGUGCGCACACCCAGCACACACAGUUCCAGAUGCGCAGGCUCGCUCACAUUCUCGUGCACAAUUCCAGAUGUGCAGGCUCACACAUACAUGCCCAGUUCCAGAUGUGCAGGCUCACACAUACAUGCCCAGUUCCAGGUGUGCAGGCUCACGCGCUCGUUCACAUCCGGAUGUGCACUCAUACUUGCAUGCUCACACCUGUGCGCACACCUGCCCGCUCCCAGAUGUGCACUCACAGCGCCUCCAGAUGUGCAGCCUCACACACGCAAGCCCAGUGCCAGGCGUGAAGGCUCUCACACACAUGCACAGUUCCAGAUGUGCAGGCUCACACACUCGUGCACAGUUCCAGAUGUGCAGGCUCACACAAGUGUGCCGAGUUCCAGAUGUGCAAGCUCUCACACGGUCACAUCCAGAUGUGCAGGCUCACACAAGUGUGCCCAGUUCCAGAUGUGCAAGCUCUCACACGGUCACAUCCAGAUGUGCAGGCUCACACAAGUGUGCCCAGUUCCAGAUGUGCAAGCUCUCACACGGUCACAUCCAGAUGUGCAGGCUCACACAAGUGUGCCCAGUUCCAGAUGUGCAAGCUCUCACACGGUCACAUCCAGAUGUGCAGGCUCACACAAGUGUGCCCAGUUCCAGAUGUGCAAGCUCUCACACGGUCACAUCCAGAUGUGCAGGCUCACACAAGUGUGCCCAGUUCCAGAUGUGCAAGCUCUCACACGGUCACAUCCAGAUGUGCAGGCUCAUGCGCCAUCCCAGGCCCUCCGGGGACAUUCAGGCAGGCACUCGCACCGCUCCAGAUGUGCGCCCCGCCAGCUGUGCGCACAGCUGGCCGCCCCCGCUCACCGGCCGAGGCGAGGCUCAGCACCUCCCUGGGGAUGAAGAGCUUGUCCUCGGAGCUGCGCGCCCAGUCCUUCAUCCCCCGCCGCCCCUUCAUGGGGAAGUUGAUGUCGCUGGACACGGCGCUCACGGGCUCGCGCUGGAUGCUGGUCACUGUCGGCGACACCGCUGUCACCUCCCGCUCCUGUGUCCCCUCGUGUCCCCACCCUGCCCCGCAGCUCACCCAGGUUGUCGGUGACGAUGAGGGAGCUCUGGAAAGCCUUCAGCGCGUUCCCCACCAGGUGGAUGAAAUCCUCCACCACCUUCAUCAGGUGCACGGAGCCGGGAGAGACCUGGAACCGCCACCGGGGAUGGGUCACCGCGCUGGGGACGCCUCCGUGGUGGGGACAUCCCAGCUGCCACCACCCACCCUCCCCCUG